GUAAUAAACAUAAAUUCCAUUCUUAGGUGGAUGCAGGGGCCACGGUCUCAGUGUUUAAAAUGUCUGCCCUGUCUGUCUCCCCCUCAAAGAAAACAAUGUACACAGUGGGAGCGUCUGGAAUUCUGGAGUGGGGAGCGGACAAAUGGAGACACCAAAUCUUGUACUUCUCCGUAUGCCCAGUAAAUUUAUUAGGAAGAGAUUUGAUGUGUAAAAGGAAUUUAUCUGUUGCCUGUUCUGAAGAAGCAUUGUCAUUGGGAUCGAUAGAAAAUGGAAUCUUCCCAUGCCUGAUGAAUUGUUACUGUGCUUGGCACCUGAAUGAUCUCCAUGUUGAGGGACAGCUGAGAGAGCAAUCCCUCUCUCCCCGUUGCAUGGUAACUGGGAAGUGUUUGAAUACCUACAUUGUACUGCUGCUGUUCCCUCAUGCGAAGAGGACCCUGAAUACCAACAGAGAUGGUCAAAACAAAAAGAGAAAAUUGAGAUAACCAUGAAUGGGAUAUACAGAGGAGAAGACUUUGUAGCAGCUGGAGUGUUGUUGAUGGAUACUCAGAUGAGUUUGUAUGAAAUGUGGGUAUUUGGAUGAAGAAAGUGAUGGAAGCAACUGAUUGGGUGGCCUGGGAAGGGGAAGGACAGUGGUCAGCUUCUACAGCAACUUUCUAUUCCCCAUACUGGGCUACUGCAGUGACCAAGAAAAUAACCAAUUCCCGUUGAAACCAUGCCUGUGGUAUUACAAGAUAAUUCACAUAUUGAUUGGCUAAAAGAUAUCCCUGAAGAACAUUGGGCUAAAUCAAAGACCGACAUUGGAUGCAUGAAAGGAGCUGCACCAGUUGUGAUAAUUCCAAAAAGCUCCCACAGACCUUACAAAGCUCAGUACCCUCUUAGCAAGGAAGCCGAAAAGGGUAUCAUUCCCAUUCAUAGUGUGUUAGUUGAAAGAGGCACUCUGGUUCCCUCCCCAAAUUCGCCUUGUAACACAGAUGGCAGCAGUUCCAGCUCCCACCAACCCUUUCUAUGUUGAUGACGUGGUUGCUUUGCAGGCAACGGCUGAUGAGUCAGAGAGACUUAAGUGGGCUGGGUACUGUCGUAAAGACGCAUCGGGUGUAUGGCUGGAUGAGAGGAGCAGACCGUUGUACUUUCCAUUUCCUUGCCAAAUUGUCACAUGGUCAGGAUCAUAUGUCCAAAGGAGGGAUGGUGGAUCUUUGUUCUCAAGACUCUCGUUCCUCGAGUGAAGGCGUCUUUGCUGAACUUGGCAGGUGGAGCUGAGCACUGUUUGAGCCCAGGUGAUUUCGUGGUGGUCAAAGACUUCAGGAGAAAGAGUUGGAAGAGGGGUCCAAGUUCCAAGUUCUUCUGACCACCCCCACUGUGGUGAAGGUUGCUGAGAGAGAUACCUGGAUCCACGUGUUGCACUGCAGACGAGUUCCUGAUCCAGGAGAAAUGAGGCUUUGCCAGUUCAAGUGGUGCAGUCUGGCCCUCUGUGUUAGCACAGGAGUGCUUAUAAGAACAGUAGGUUGUCCUAUUGUCGGAAACCUGACAGAGGAUGAGAUAAGUCCUGAGCCAACGGGGCCAAUGCCGGUCCGGAGUAGUGGCACAGAAGUAGAUGAUCAUUGGGCCCUCAUAACCAUGAGGAAAAUCUGUUCCUCUCUAGAGCAGAAAUGGUUGCUAAUCUUACAUCUGGACAAAACGAGUGUGUGGGUUGGGGCCAAUUAAGGUAGGAGCAGGUUACCACUUGUGGGAGUUUCCAUAGGGGUCAAUCUGAAUAUACAAAUAGCCUUGACCCUGACCCCAUGAUGUUUUCUGCAUUAUAUAACCACAUAGGCCCACCAUCGUUUGAUAGGCCAGAGAAUACUUUACUCCCACCCAUGUCAGUAGCAGGAGUGAUUGCAGCCCCUUGGUGUAUUAGAGGAGAAAGAAGUAAUCAUUUGGGUGAACUAGAAUGUAAUUGUACAAUGUAUUACAAAGGGUCCAAUACCUGUAAGUUAACUGUUAACAAUGCCGUCACUGGAUGAGCUUUCUUUUCCCCCUGUAGAUAAGGACGAUGAGUGAGAAUUGGAGGUUGUUUUUGUUUGACAAGUUUAGAUGGCCCAAGCGGAUUUGUUUUAUGUUUUGACUAGUCUCAGGAACAGUUGGUGCGGAACAGAUGUCGCUGCAACCCGAUGGUGGUAACAACUAUGUAAACAAUGGUUAAACAUUGAGAGAUUUAGUCAACCCUAAAUUUGCAGAUCCCUUGUGUAUGUGUGUGCAAUUUAUAUUGUAAAACCCAGAGUGAAGGGCUUGUAAGAUUGGAGUGUCUGGUGCAACGUGUUGAUUUCACUUACUUUAAUAAAACCUCCUUUGAUAGAAGCUAUAAUCUAAUGCUUACAUAAAAUGUUUACAAUAAUUAUCACAGUAAUAAAAGAAGGGAAUGUGAGGGAAAAGUUAUGUUCAAUAAUCAAAUCAAUGCUACAAAAUAUCGAAUCAAGGCUACUUUCUAAUAACUAAUUAGAAAGGUUCAUGCAGGUGACUGACUGAUCGUCUAUGGAGGAAUCCUCACUAUCACUGUUCAUCAACUUGGUAGUACGCCCAGAAUAUUGCUAUGGGAACAACCAAGGUAUCUCAGUUUCAAGGUCUCAACUUGGAGAGAGAGCCUCGUGAGGUAUUGGUCAGUCACAUGUGCGAGCCACCAGUAGUGAUUAAUGAAUUAUGCUAAAUCAUGCAAAUAUAACUUGUCUGUGUAUAGCCGAAUAUAAGACAACUGCAGGGACCACCCCAACAGAGCUUCUGAUAGAUGUGUGCAGAGUUUGCUGUAACCUCUCCAGCUUGCUGAUAAUAAAGAGUGAUUCAUUUUAAGGUUGGCUUCAGGUGUCUCUGGUGUUGAAUUUCUACCACAUUAUAAUAUUUUAAGUCGUAGAUGAUAGGUAGAGGGUUCUUUCCACCCUAAAA
rnacentral:lncRNA from 1 species